rnacentral:piRNA from 1 species
GCUGGGCAUAGAAGCUACGACGACU